rnacentral:rRNA from 1 species
AUUGAACGCUAGCGGGAUGCCUUACACAUGCAAGUCGAACGGAGUGGCGAACGGGCGAGUAAUGUAUCGGAAAGAGCCCAGUAGCGGGGGAUAACUACGCGAAAGCGUAGGUAACACCGAAUACUAUCGGAGCGGACGACCUCGGAUUAGCUAGUUGGUGGGGUAAAGGCUCACCAAGGCGACGAUCCGUAGCUGGUUUGAGAGGACGACCAGCCACACUGGGACUGAGACACGGCCCAGACUCCUACGGGAGGAAGCAGUGGGGAAUUUUGGACAAUGGGGGAAACCCGGAUCCAGCCAUCCCGCGUGUGCGAUGAAGGCCUUCGGGUUGUAAAGCACUUUUAGCAGGAAAGCGGUACCUGCAGAAUAAGCACCGGCUAACUACGUGCCAGCAGCCGCGGUAAUUC